rnacentral:misc_RNA from 1 species
UUUUAUUUAAAAAAAAUAUUUAUUGCCAGAAAAACUUAAUCUUAGACAAUCUCAGGAAACACAAGAUCCCAAAGAAAAUUAGGAAGCUGACACCAAACCGUUGGACUAGCAUAUAAUAGAGCUGCCCUUGCAAGAACAUGAGCAAGUUUAUUAGCUCGUCAGAGACAUAUCCGCCCCCCGAGAAAGCAAAAUUUUACAAUUGGAAAUAACCUGACCAAACUCUGAAAGAUCUGCAUCUGAAGAAAGCAUAGCAUUAAACAUCUCUUUGCAAUCCAACUCAAUAAAAAUAUAAUUGGGAAAAGCAUUCAAUAACCAACGAAGCACCUCCCUCAAUGCCAAAGCCUCAGCAAGUUUAGGCUAAAGAACACCAUCUUGAAAUCCUGAAAAAGCAGCUUGAAAAUUCCCUGAAGAGUCCCGCACCACAGCAGCAUAACUAAACUUUUUUUCCAACUCAAAAAUGCCUGCAUCAAUAUUGCAUUUGUAGAAGCUCAUAGGAGGAGGGAACCAAUGAUCAACAAGUGACAUGCGUGAAACAGGAGACACAUACUGCUGAUAACAACUUUGAGAAGCCUCCCAAUCAGCUAGACAAGAUAAAGCCAUAUCAACCACAUCUUGACCUGUACAUGACUUUCCUUGCCAAACAAGCUGAUUUCUCUUAACCCAUAAUCCCCAUAAAAUCAUAAAAGAUCGAGCAAUUGGUUGCUUAUCCGACAACGCCAAAAUGAAAGCCACGAAGGAAGAUAGAGAAGCAAAUUGAUCCACCUCCCCAAACCCAAAACUCUCCCAACAAUCGUAAGCACAUGGACAAGUCAAAAAACCAUGGUCAGCAUCCUCAAACGCGGAACAUUUGAGACAUCCUCCUCCAAUAUAAACCUUUCUUGUUUGGAGAUUAGCCACUGUAGGAAUAAUAUUGUGAAGAGCUCGCCUGACAAGAUUCUUGACCUUUGGAGGGACAGGAACCAACCACAACUUCUUCCAAUUAAGACCACCCAAUUGUCCAAAAGAUAUUAGAUGAUCCUCCGAAAGAACAUGACAAGCUGACUUCACUGAAUAAAUCUCAUUCUUAUUGAAAUGCCAAAUCCUCUUAUCCUCUCACUGAUUAUAAUUUUUUGAAUUUCAAUUGUGAAUGUGCAAACAUUGCAAUGUCAAGCUGCACACUGGCAUCCUGAAUUUCAAUUUCCUAAGGCUGCUGAUUGUUUCAAACAGAAAUGUGACAUUUAAGGCAUCAUUAUAUUUGGUCUG